rnacentral:rRNA from 1 species
GACGAACGCUGGCGGCGUGCUUAACACAUGCAAGUCGAACGGAAAGGCCCUGCUUUUGUUGGGUGCUCGAUUGGCGAACGGGUGAGUAACACGCGAGUAUCCUGCCCUUGUCUUUGGGAUAUCUCCAGGAAACUGGGGCUAUUACCGGAGAGGAUCUCCUGCUGCAUGGUGGGGGUUGGAAAGUUUCGGCGGUGGGGGAUCGACUGGCGGCUUAUCAGCUUGUUGGUGGGGUAGUGGCUUACCAAGCUUAUGACGGGUAGCCCGCCUGAGAGGGUUGCCGGCGUCAUGGGGACUGCGAGACGGCCCAGACGCCAACGGGAGGCAGCGGUGGGGAAUAUUGCACAAUGGGCGGGAGCCUGAUGCAGAAACGCCGCGUGCGGGAUGACGGCCUUCGGGUUGUGAACCGCUUUCGAAUGUGACGAAGCGUGAGUGACGGUAAUGGGUAAAGAAGCACCGGCUAACUACGUG